rnacentral:snRNA from 1 species
ACAGAAGGGGGUUAGGGAAAAUGCUGUGUCAUAAAAAUGGUUUUCCCAGGUGGAGGCUCAUGUAUUGUACUUCAGGUGUGCUGCUGAUCCCUGUGAUUUCCCUAAAUGUGGGGAUCUCAGCUGCAUAGUUUGUGUUAAUUAUAGAAUUACAUUUAUGAUUUCCUACUU